rnacentral:lncRNA from 1 species
UGAUUGAUUGAUAAAUCAGAAGAGUUUGUUCGGAGAAUGUUCUUUCUACUCGGAGAAUUCUUGUUCGGCUGGUCAACACGAAUUUAUUAAAUUCGUGGUAGAGAUGAAAGUUACUAUCUGGUAAGGCAGAUAGUAGGGUUCCAGUGUUAAACCCUGAUGCUAGCAAAGAGAGUGUUGGUGUGUCUUUAGUGGUGACGAUCAGACCACUAGGACUACACAGG